rnacentral:lncRNA from 1 species
CUAGCUCCUCCCCCCGUUUGCCUUGGUUUGGUUGUACCACUCACGCCUCCUGGUAGUGGCAGCUCUCUGCCUACCUUCGCAUGCGCUCCUUCCUGACUGAGAGCAUCCGCAGGGGGACACCACAGACCUGGGUGCGUACCCGCACACGCGGGCUAAUCUGCUGCGCCGUCUUUUUUCCGUCUAGGAUUAUAUAGACUACUACGAGCUGUGUUUUUAAUUAGUCUAUUGCUUUAUUGCGUGGAAAGGGGCGGAUAACUCCAGAAUUCGUGGAUGAGCACCAGGAGGAGGGGGAAGUAAUAUUGCUCCAGGGGCCUAGUGAGCAAAUGGUUUGAUGUGAAAGAUUGGUUUGGAAAAGGAAAGGAGAGAGGGGACUCCAAGCGCGGCAGAGGUUUAUGGCGGUCCACAAAGCGCGGCUGCUUUUAAGAAAGACAGUCGACCGUGAGGCAGAGCACGUACAGUUGCUGUUUGUUGGCCAGUUUGCGAUUUUUGCGGCGGACCCCGAUCAGGUCGGGGGUGGCCAGGGGCUGGGAUUGG